UGGGGAAUUUUGGACAAUGGGCGCAAGCCUGAUGCAGCCAUGCCGCGUGUAUGAAGAAGGCCUUCGGGUUGUAAAGUACUUUCAGCGGGGAGGAAGGCGAUAAGGUUAAUAACCUUGUCGAUUGACGUUACCCGCAGAAGAAGCACCGGCUAACUCCGUGCCAGCAGCCGCGGUAAUACGGAGGGUGCAAGCGUUAAUCGGAAUUACUGGGCGUAAAGCGCACGCAGGCGGUCUGUCAAGUCGGAUGUGAAAUCCCCGGGCUCAACCUGGGAACUGCAUUCGAAACUGGCAGGCUAGAGUCUUGUAGAGGGGGGUAGAAUUCCAGGUGUAGCGGUGAAAUGCGUAGAGAUCUGGAGGAAUACCGGUGGCGAAGGCGGCCCCCUGGACAAAGACUGACGCUCAGGUGCGAAAGCGUGGGGAGCAAACA
rnacentral:rRNA from 1 species